UUGGGGUCAAAUCACUAAAAUCUACU
rnacentral:piRNA from 1 species